GGGGAAUUUUCCGCAAUGGGCGCAAGCCUGACGGAGUAAUACCGCGUGCGGGAGGAAGGUCUAUUGACUGUAAACCGCUUUUAUUAAGAAAGAAUUCUGACGGUACUUAAUGAAUAAGCCUCGGCUAACUCCGUGCCAGCAGCCGCGGUAAUACGGAGGAGGCAAGCGUUAUCCGGAAUUAUUGGGCGUAAAGCGUCCGUAGGUGGUUUUGCAAGUCGGCUGUCAAAGCCCGUGGCUCAACCACGGAAAGGCAGUGGAAACUACAAAACUCGAGUGCAGUAGGGGCAGAGGGAAUUCCCAGUGUAGCGGUGAAAUGCGUAGAGAUUGGGAAGAACACCCGUGGCGAAAGCGCUCUGCUGGACUGCAACUGACACUAAGGGACGAAAGCUAGGGGAGCGAAUGGGAUUAGAUACCCCAGUA
rnacentral:rRNA from 1 species